GCCAGUGUAUUGUAGUGGCUUGCACACUGGAUUGUGACUCUGGAGUCCAGGGUUUGAAUCCCUGCUCAGCCA